CAGAUAUUUAUCACAGAGUGCUCAGUGCCUGCCCUGCUUUCCCCAGUGCAUACCCCAUGGCCCUCUUGCUAAAUGCUGAACUGGCAGAGAUGCUGGCAAGCCUCAGACACACAGAAUAAUGACUGGGCUGGCUGCUCAGCCUAAAGCUUGGGCCAUUUUGGUUGAGGUGUGGGAUAAAUCAGGACAUCAGGGAAUGCACUGGAGAGAGUUGCCUACAUUUAAAUGCAAACUGGAUUUUUGCAGUUUUCCCCAAAAGUCCCAGCAUGCUGGAGCUCCUCGUUCUCCCAGCCAGCAACAAGAACCUCGCUGGUGGCUUUGGCGCCUCUUGGAAGUGGCUCACUCAAAACCAAACAGGCAAAACCUCACAACAAAGGAAAUUUGCUGCAAAUAACCAGCUGAAAGAAUUGCCUAAGCUGUAAGAACUGGAAUGCACAAGGAAAGGUACAAAACCUGCAGGAAGGGACUCAGGUCCAUUGAUUCAUCCUUUAUUUUUCACACUAAAUAUUUCAAAAUGUGCACUUUUUCUACUUUUUUUGUUGAUUUUUUUGUUGUUGUUUUUUGGUUUAGUGGUUUUUUUUUUUUUUGGUGGGAUUUUUGUUUUAGAUCUUUUGACAUUUCUGUCGUAUUUCAUUGUUUCCAUGUUUUCUCCCAAGGCCUGGAGGAUAAGGUUUAAACCACGCAUUUAUUGAAGGACAGUUCAUGUAUUCCUGUGCUACAGAAGAAAGGAAUGGAUUGAUCCAAUCCAGUUCCUUAUGUGGGGAAAGAAAGUGGUGUAAAAAUCAGAGAAUGAAAGUCAAGAAUCUUAUUUGGGGUCUGCAGCUGCAAUAUUAUUCAUGCCCUGUGAUCAAUAAUUUGCCAACCCUUUCCUUGGCCUGCCCCCUAUAAUAUUGUGCAAAAUGACAAUUUUUCAUUAAUAUUCCCUGACUAAAAAGAAAAUAAAAUUAUUUCACAUCUUUAUAUGGAUAAGUAG
rnacentral:lncRNA from 1 species